rnacentral:rRNA from 1 species
GACGAACGCUGGCGGCGUGCUUAACACAUGCAAGUCGAACGAAGUGGCGAACGGGUGAGUAACGCGUUAUCAACCUGCCCUUCAGACGGUGACAACAGGUGGAAACGACUGCUAAUACCGUAUACUGAGGGAGGGGCUUGCGUGUGAUUAGCUAGUUGGAGGGGUAACGGCCCACCAAGGCGAGGAUCAGUAGGCGGACUGGUAGGAGGGACGGCCCCAUCGUGACUGAGACACGGCCCAGAAUCCGACGGGAGGCAGCCGUGGGGAAUCUUCCGGAAUGGAAGAAAUUCUGACGGAGCAACGCCGCGUGAGUGGUGACGGGCUUCGGGUUGUAAAGCUCUGUUAAUCGGGACGCGGUACCUGAAUAGAAAGCCACGGCUAACUACGUGCCAGCAGCCGCGGUAAUUC